rnacentral:lncRNA from 1 species
UACUUUUAAAAUUGGUUUUGAAUAGGGUAAUAUUUAAGUAUCAGGUUUCUAAUGUGUUGAUUUACUUUUCCCUUUGCAUUUUGGAUAUGUUUUGAUUUCUUUUCUUUCAUCUUUCGCAUAUGAAUCCGCUUUGGAGUUCAAACCAGCUCCCUCCUUUUUGCAUUUCAUAAUGGGCCAAUAAGGCCCAUCUUUUGAGUCGAGUUCUGCAAUUACUGCAAGAUCGAUUGACUUUUGGAUAAAGAAGUUGAUAUUGAUGGAAGAGGAAAAUAGGUUGAUACCCAUUGGUGAAAAUUUGUCAAACUUGUAUUGUUUGUUUUAUUAUUUUUUUCUGCUUCUUUAUCUAUUUAUUCAUUCAUUUGGGCCUCGAAGCCAAAGUUGUAAUUUUAAUACAGGUCAAGCGGAUUUUGGGCCAAAAGGUCCAAAAAAAUGAUUCGAGACAGGUUAUGGGCUAAAAGCUCAAUAUUUAGAUUAAGACAGGUGACGACGGGACAAAAGCCCAAAUGGAUAGUUUAGGACAGGUGCAAGCAGGUUUGGGACUAAAAGCCUAAUCUCAUUUUUUACCUUUUACUUUUCUAUGUUUAUUUGCUAUUUGUGCCUUAAAAUUUAGUUAAAUUCCUUACUAAGUCAUCAAAUUGAUUUUACACAAGUUUUGUUUUAAAUCACUUUUUUUUAAAAAUCAAUCUUUUUAAAGUUAGUCAAAAGAUAUUUUCAAACAGUCCGGAUAACCGCAAGUUAGCGAACGUUUUAGAUGUCUUAAACCUUCUUAAAACGUUAAUAAGAACCGCUUACUCAGAAUCUUUAAAUUUUAAUGAUUUUUUCUGUUUUGGAUCGUUUAAAGUAUUUCAUAAAGAUUUUUUAAUUCCUUUUCAAAAUUAAGUGGCGACUCUGAAAGGAAAAUUUUUGCAAAACAAAAAUGGUGACUCUGCUGGGGAUUCUAACUAGGUUCUAACCAAAUGUUUGAUUUCAUCUAUUGACUAACUGUUUAAAUUGCUUACGUAUUUAUGUGUUUCAAUUUUGCAGAAUUUAAUUAUUGCAUUUGAUGGCAUGGUCCUGCAUUGAUUAUUAAUUUGUUUUGGGGGGUUUUGUGGAUGUCCCAACCCUUAUUGUUCACCUCUAAAUCAAAUGUUGGAAAUAUGACAGUUUACUGGCACAUUGGGCAGUCGAAGGCUGAUCAUGUUUUCAAACUCAAGUUUUUCGCUUGGGAACAUGUGUCCAAACCCACUCUAGACACCUAGGAUAUAGCGAAACCAAAACCCUAUUUUAGGUAUAAGUCUAGAACGACUAUUGUGCCUAUUAGAAAACUUUCCAUGCAUCUAUUGACCCCGAGUUAAUUACAGAUAAAUCAUAUCUAUGUGUUGAAGAAGAAUAUAUUUUAUUUAAUCCAAUCUAUUAUCUUGCUCUGCUUUCGUGUAAGGAUUCCUUAAUCAUACACCAAUUGAGAGAGGAAUUGAAGCAAACCAAGAAAGAAACUAAUCGAUUUAGACGGUUGCAUCUAAGGCACAACUAUACGGAAAUAGCUUGAUUAUCAACGGAUGUUGUCAAUGACAAGAAGUGGACAAAGAUAAGAAGGCGAAGGCCGAUAGAAGAAACAUUCAGGAUUUAGUAUUUCCUAUCCCCUGCGUGGGACAUCAUUUUUUUUCUCAUGUGAUUUCCCUUUCCCUAAAGAUUGUACCCCCUUUGUGGAACUUUUGUAGGCAUUUAUGCCAUUUAUGUAUAUCUAUGAAAUUGGGGGAUAAUGGAUUGGCUUUAAAA